rnacentral:rRNA from 1 species
UACGUAGGGUGCAAGCGUUGUCCGGAAUUAUUGGGCGUAAAGCGCGUGUAGGCGGCUCGGUAAGUCUGCUGUGAAAGUCCAAGGCUCAACCUUGGAAUGCCGGUGGAUACUGUCGAGCUCGAGUCCGGAAGAGGCGAGUGGAAUUCCUGGUGUAGCGGUGAAAUGCGCAGAUAUCAGGAGGAACACCGAUGGCGAAGGCAAUCCCCUGGGCCUGCACUGACGCUCAUGCACGAAAGCGUGGGGAGCAAACAGG